rnacentral:lncRNA from 1 species
GUGGUACUGACAGGGUCUCUGCGUACCUGUCUGACCUUGCGAGGGGGCACCACUUCCAUUUCAGCUGUUCCUCUGUUGACUCUGUAAGGUCUCUAACCAGCUCAACAGCUGCAAUUAACCUCUCCAGCAGCUACUCAGAGGCCCAGUGAGCUCCAGAGUUAUGAUCAAGCAAACAUGCGGCAGGGAACAGAUCCCGCUCAAGACCCACUGGUCUUCUGGGCAGAAGCAAGCUCAACCACCUCCAGUUUCUAGGACUGUGCAAGUAUAUGGUGUGAAGUUAGUAGAACCAUUGGUGUUUGAAAUUUAA